AACUGACUUGUAAUCAGUAGGUCGCCAGUUCGAUCCCGGCAGUCGGCACCA
rnacentral:tRNA from 1 species